AUUGAACGCUGGCGGCAGGCCUAACACAUGCAAGUCGAGCGAGCGGCGGACGGGUGAGUAAUGUCUGGGAAACUGCCUGAUGGAGGGGGGUAACUACUGGAAACGGUAGCUAAUACCGCAUACCAUCAGAUGUGCCCAGAUGGGAUUAGCUAGUAGGUGGGGUAACGGCUCAACUAGGCGACGAUCCCUAGCUGGUCUGAGAGGAUGACCAGCCAACCUGGAACGGAGACACGGUCCAGAUUCUGACGGGAGGCAGCAGUGGGAAUUAUUGCACAAUGGGCGCAAGCUUGAUGCAGCCAUGCCGGGUGUGUGAAGAAGUCUUUGGGGUUGUAAAGCACUUUCAGCGGGGAGGCGUUACCCGCAGAAGAAGCACCGGCUAACUCCGUGCCAGCAGCCGCGGUAAUAC
rnacentral:rRNA from 1 species